rnacentral:rRNA from 1 species
GACGUAGGGGGCCAGCGUUGUUCGGAAUUACUGGGUGUAAAGGGUUCGUAGGCGGUGCGGCAAGUCGGGAGUGAAAUCUCUGGGCUUAACCCAGAGGCUGCUUCCGAAACUGCUGUGCUUGAGUGUGGGAGAGGCGCGUGGAAUUGCAGGUGUAGCGGUGAAAUGCGUAGAUAUCGAGAGGAACACCUGCGGCGAAGGCGGGUUGCUGGGCUGACACUGACGCUGAAGCGCGAAAGCUAGGGGAGCGAACGGG